CUUUAUAUCAGUAUGUACAAUUUUUUAUAUUUCACAGCUGUUAUUGUUGGAGGUAUUGAUAUGAUGACACAGUCUCUAAUGUUAGCUAAGAAGCCACAUGUUAUAGUUGCAACUCCUGGAAGGUUGGUUGACCACCUAGAGAACACAAAAGGCUUUAAUCUUAAAGCUGUAAAAUAUUUGAUGAUGGAUGAAGCUGAUAGAAUGUU